AUUAAACGCUGGCGGCAUGCCUUACACAUGCAAGUCGAACGGCAGCACGGGGGCAACCCUGGUGGCGAGUGGCGAACGGGUGAGUAAAGCAUCGGAACGUGCCCUGGAGUGGGGGGAGUAACGUAGCGAAAGUUACGCUAAUACCGCAUAUUCUGUGAGCAGGAAAGCAGGGGAUCGCAAGACCUUGCGCUCUGGGAGCGGCCGAUGUCGGAUUAGCUAGUUGGUGGGGUAAAAGGCCCUACCCAAGGCGACGAUCCGUAGCGGGUCUGAGAGGAUGAUCCGCCACACUGGGACUGAGACACGGCCCAGACUCCUACGGGAGGCAGCAGUGGGGAAUUUUGGACAAUGGGCGAAAGCCUGAUCCAGCCAUGCCGCGUGAGUGAAGAAGG
rnacentral:rRNA from 1 species